AAAAAAAUGUUAUGAAAGAAUGUGUGCAACAGAAGUGUAAACAAAUAUGGUGCAAAUGGAUGAAUUCCUUACAUAUUUUAUAAGAUAUUGUAAUGUGUGCUGGGACAAAUAAAUCUGUUACUGUGUUUGACAUGAAUGUGGGAAGGAAUGUCAGAAUAAUGGCUGACGUUCAUACCAGACCAGCUCAUGUCAUUUGUCAAAAUGAGG
rnacentral:lncRNA from 1 species